rnacentral:rRNA from 1 species
UGGGGAAUUUUGGACAAUGGGCGCAAGCCUGAUCCAGCCAUUCCGCGUGAGUGAAGAAGGCCUUCGGUUGUAAGCUCUUCGCAAGGAAGAAACUUAACAUUCUAAUAAAGUAGUGAGGCUGACGGUACCUUGAUAAGAAGCACCGGCUAACUACGUGCCAGCAGCCGCGGUAAUACGUAGGGUGCGAGCGUUAAUCGGAAUUACUGGGCGUAAAGCGUGCGCAGGCGGUUUUGUAAGUCAGAUGUGAAAUCCCCGAGCUCAACUUGGGAACUGCGUUUGAAACUACAAGACUAGAAUAUGUCAGAGGGGGGUAGAAUUCCACGUGUAGCAGUGAAAUGCGUAGAGAUGUGGAGGAAUACCAAUGGCGAAGGCAGCCCCCCUGGGAUAAUAUUGACGCUCAUGCACGAAAGCGUGGGGAGCAAACAGGAUUAGAUACCCUGGUA